rnacentral:rRNA from 1 species
CAGUCGCCGCGGUAAUACAGAGGGUGCGAGCGUUAAUCGGAUUUACUGGGCGUAAAGCGUGCGUAGGCGGCUUUUUAAGUCGGAUGUGAAAUCCCUGAGCUCAACUUAGGAAUUGCAUUCGAUACUGGGAAGCUAGAGUAUGGGAGAGGAUGGUAGAAUUCCAGGUGUAGCGGUGAAAUGCGUAGAGAUCUGGAGGAAUACCGAUGGCCAAGGCAGCCAUCUGGCCUAAUACUGACGCUGAGGUACGAAAGCAUGGGGAGCAAACAGGAUUAGAUACCCCAGUAGCCCUGUCUCUUAUACA